rnacentral:sRNA from 1 species
CGCUUCCUGCAGUGUACGACGCCGACCUGAAAGCCUUUCGACCCUAAAUCUUUACCUCGGGGUCGUGUACUGUCGGCAACAUUUGAGCAGGGCCGUUUCGACGGCAAGCCUGUUGUUGCCACGGCUGACCCCACCUGUUGCUCCGGUUCGAGAGCGACGGCUCGGUGACGGCACAAGCGGGAAGCGC